AGCAAGCAGCUUUUCAGUUAGUUUUUGUUCUUGGAUUUGAAGGAGAGCAGGACCAAGGGAAAGUGAGAAGAGACUGAACUUUCUUUUUUGUGUAAUUGAUAUCCAUUUUUUCCAGGGAGAGGCCAUCACAUAUUGUAGAAUUUUGACUAACUUGCACCAGUGACCUGAGCGGAUGUCAACCUACUAAAAGAGGGAAAUAUACAAAAUGUACAAGCUGAAGUAACCUCUCUCAAGGUAAAUUUGAAAAAGGAGGCUAACCCACAGUUGAAGGUCUGUAACAGGCAGCAUGGACAGCACUAGGUGCAAUGAAGGGGCUGGAUGUGGCACCAGUUCAUCACAGACAUCCGAAAAUGAGUACAGUUAU